AUGGUCUCACUGAGGCCCGGCAACGGGUCAGACGGGGCCCCCAAAGGACUGUGGUGCUACGUCUGCUGCCAGAGGAGGCUGACGCUGCCCCCAUGCCCCACGGUGCCCAGGCAGAACCCCCAGGUCCAGAAUGGCCCCACGCCGGAGGAGAUGGAACUGCAGAGAAGGCAGCUCCAGGAGCUGCAGAGGCAGAAGGAGGUGGAACGGGAGCAGCAGGAGCGCGAGGCGCUGGAGCGUCAGGAACGGGAGCGCGUGGAGAGGGAGGCGCAGGCGGAGCGGGAGCGCCUGGAGCAGCAGGAGCGCGAGCUGAUGGAGAAGGAGAAGGCAGAGCAGGAGCAGCUGGACAGAGAGCAGCAGGACUGGGAGAGAGGACGACGCGUCUCCAACGCCGGUGAGUGAAGCCCUUUGGUUCCUGCUCAGCCUCCGGUCCGAGGCCUUUCUCAUCAUCUGAUGGUCUGUGGCUCAGCGACAGCAUUCAAAUACUAAAACACAUGCUUCAAUUCCUCCAAGAGAGCUGCUUUCUGGGGGGAGGGGUUGAAAAGGUGCAGCUUCACCAUUCCUUCUGUGCAUUGCAUUGUGGGAGACUUUAACAUGCAGCUAGUUCUGGUCUUAGUUAAGUCCUUGAGUCCAGCUCAUCUCUAUUGACCCCUGCGUGGUGGGUUUGUCCUGCAGGCCUCGGCCUCUUGCCUUUCCUAUCCAGCGCUACGACUGUUAGCUUCCUCUCCUAUUGCUAAGCUACAGUGCUCACAGGCUGGACACGCUAAGGCACCGGGGAACCAUUGUCCUCCUCCAGAGGGACAGGCCGCGGUGUAAAGUCCAGCUGUGAUGGAUCAGGGCUUUUCCUGUUGUCUCGUGAUAGAAAGGAGGGACCGGGUCGGUGGCGUGGGGGUAGAGAGGGUGCGCUCGAGCUCCGGCUGCCCCAUGUCCCAAGUCAAAGUGUCCCUGAGCAAGACACCUAACCCCUAAUUGCUCCCCGGGCAAAAAUGUAAAAAGCCAUGAGUUAAAAAUGACUUAAAUGACCUGUAAUGUAAUGUGAGGGUUAGGGGUUAAUCCGUGCAGCACACACAGGAUCGCCGCUGUUACUCAGAGGCUAAAAAUACACCAUCAGGGACAAUGGUUGAGACCCCUAGGUAGGUGUGUGUGUGUGUGUGUGUGUGUGUGUGUGUGUGUGUGUGUGUGUGUGUGUGUGUGUGUGUGCAUAAAUAAGAAGGAGGAGUUACUUCACAUGUCAUACACCAUUAAAGUCAAAGAAAGAUGUGUGCAGCUGGAACGAGCUGUCUUGUGACUCAUUAGGUGUGUGUGUGUGUGUGU
ensembl:lncRNA